rnacentral:rRNA from 1 species
AGUGAACGCUGGCGGUAGGCCUAACACAUGCAAGUCGAACGGCAGCACAGUAAGAGCUUGCUCUUACGGGUGGCGAGUGGCGGACGGGUGAGGAAUACAUCGGAAUCUACUUUUUCGUGGGGGAUAACGUAGGGAAACUUACGCUAAUACCGCAUACGACCUACGGGUGAAAGCAGGGGAUUUUCGGACCUUGCGCGAUUGAAUGAGCCGAUGUCGGAUUAGCUAGUUGGCGGGGUAAGGGCCCACCAAGGCGACGAUCCGUAGCUGGUCUGAGAGGAUGAUCAGCCACACUGGAACUGAGACACGGUCCAGACUCCUACGGGAGGCAGCAGUGGGGAAUAUUGGACAAUGGGCGCAAGCCUGAUCCAGCCAUACCGCGUGGGUGAAGAAGGCCUUCGGGUUGUAAAGCCCUUUUGUUGGGAAAGAAAAGCAGCAGGUUAAUACCCCGCUGUUCUGACGUUACCCAAAGAAUAAGCACCGGCUAACUUCGUG